rnacentral:rRNA from 1 species
AAAUUGAAGAGUUUGAUCAUGGCUCAGAUUGAACGCUGGCGGCAGGCCUAACACAUGCAAGUCGAGCGGUAGCACAGAGAGCUUGCUCUCGGGUGACGAGCGGCGGACGGGUGAGUAAUGUCUGGGAAACUGCCUGAUGGAGGGGGAUAACUACUGGAAACGGUAGCUAAUACCGCAUAACGUCGCAAGACCAAAGUGGGGGACCUUCGGGCCUCAUGCCAUCAGAUGUGCCCAGAUGGGAUUAGCUAGUAGGUGGGGUAACGGCUCACCUAGGCGACGAUCCCUAGCUGGUCUGAGAGGAUGACCAGCCACACUGGAACUGAGACACGGUCCAGACUCCUACGGGAGGCAGCAGUGGGGAAUAUUGCACAAUGGGCGCAAGCCUGAUGCAGCCAUGCCGCGUGUGUGAAGAAGGCCUUCGGGUUGUAAAGCACUUUCAGCGGGGAGGAAGGCGGUGAGGUUAAUAACCUUAUCGAUUGACGUUACCCGCAGAAGAAGCACCGGCUAACUCCGUGCCAGCAGCCGCGGUAAUACGGAGGGUGCAAGCGUUAAUCGGAAUUACUGGGCGUAAAGCGCACGCAGGCGGUCUGUCAAGUCGGAUGUGAAAUCCCCGGGCUCAACCUGGGAACUGCAUUCGAAACUGGCAGGCUAGAGUCUUGUAGAGGGGGGUAGAAUUCCAGGUGUAGCGGUGAAAUGCGUAGAGAUCUGGAGGAAUACCGGUGGCGAAGGCGGCCCCCUGGACAAAGACUGACGCUCAGGUGCGAAAGCGUGGGGAGCAAACAGGAUUAGAUACCCUGGUAGUCCACGCCGUAAACGAUGUCGAUUUGGAGGUUGUGCCCUUGAGGCGUGGCUUCCGGAGCUAACGCGUUAAAUCGACCGCCUGGGGAGUACGGCCGCAAGGUUAAAACUCAAAUGAAUUGACGGGGGCCCGCACAAGCGGUGGAGCAUGUGGUUUAAUUCGAUGCAACGCGAAGAACCUUACCUGGUCUUGACAUCCACAGAACUU